rnacentral:lncRNA from 1 species
AACAAGAAUAUUUUUAGAUAGAUGAGUAUUCUUUCGGAGUUUAGAUAAAUAGUUUUUCUUAAAAACUGCUAUUUUUAGAAAGCUUUGAAUUUUUAUGAGAAAUAUUGUAGAUUUAGGUUUCUGAUUUAGAAAUUAAGAUAACAAGAAUAGUUUUGGAUAGAUAAGUAUUCUUUCUGAGUUUUUCUUUUUUUUUUUUGAAUGAAUGCUAAAUUUUAUUCAUCAAAAAACCUUUUAUAUCUAGUGGAUCCUUG